GACGAGUCUCACAAACGUUAUUCGGAAUUACUGGGCUUAAAGGGUGCGUAGGCGGUGGAGUAAGUCGGAUGUGAAAUACCUUAGCUUAACUAGGGAACUGCACUCGAUACUACUUUGCUGGAGUAAGACAGAGGUGAGUGGAACUGAGGGUGGAGCGGUGAAAUGCGUUGAUAUCAUCAGGAACACCGGUGGCGAAAGCGGCUUACUGGGUCUCUUCUGACGCUGAGGUACGAAAGCUAGGGGAGCGAACGGG
rnacentral:rRNA from 1 species